AACGUAGGACACAAGCGUUAUCCGGAGUUACUGGGCGUAAAGGGCGUGUAGGCGGACGUGUAAGUCUAUUCUGAAAGCUCCUGGCUAAACUGGGAGAGGCGAAUGGAGACUGCAUAUCUAGAGUGAGGAAGAGGAAAGUGGAAUUCCGCGUGUAGUGGUGAAAUGCGUAGAUAUGACAUAGAACACCAAUUGCGAAGGCAGCUUACUACACAGUCAUUGACACUGAGGCACGAAAGCGUGGGGAUCAAACAGG
rnacentral:rRNA from 1 species